rnacentral:rRNA from 1 species
CCUACGGGUGACAGCAGUGAGGAAUAUUGGUCAAUGGGCGCGAGCCUGAACCAGCCAAGUAGCGUGAAGGAUGACUGCCUUACGUGUUGUAAACUUCUUUUAUAAAGAAAUAAAGUGAGGCACGUGUGCCUUUUUGUAUGUACUUUAUGAAUAAGGCUCGGCUAACUCCGUGCCAGCAGCCGCGGUAAUACGGAGGAUCCGAGCGUUAUCCAGAUUUAGUGGGUUUAAAGGGAGCGUAGAUGGGUCGUUAAGUCAGUUGUGAAAGUUCGCGGCUCAACCGUGAAAUUGCAAUUGAUACUGGCAACCUUGAGUGCAGUAGAGGUAGGCGGAAUUCGUGGUGUAGCGGUGAAAUGCUUAGAUAUCACGAAGAACUCCGAUGGCGAAGGCAGCCUACUAAACUGCCACUGACAUUGAGGCUCGAAAGUGUGGGGAGCAAACAGGAUUAGAUACCCUUGUAGUC